rnacentral:rRNA from 1 species
UACGAAGGGGGGCUAGCGUUGCUCGGAAUCACUGGGCGUAAAGCGCACGUAGGCGGACUCUUAAGUCGGUGGUGAAAUCCUGGAGCUCAACUCCAGAACUGCCUUCGAUACUGAGAGUCUCGAGUCCGAGAGAGGUGAGUGGAACUGCGAGUGUAGAGGUGAAAUUCGUAGAUAUUCGCAAGAACACCAGUGGCGAAGGCGGCUCACUGGCUCGGUACUGACGCUGAGGUGCGAAAGCGUGGGGGAGCAAACAGGG